GGCUGGAAGAGUCAUGUUCCAAUACUUGACUUAUAGAAAAAAGAAUAUGCUGAAAGAAUAAUGAAAUCUGACAUGUAUGUAGGUAUUUACCUUAGUUUAUGUGUUGGGAAGAGCAUGUUUGGAAGAGCAUGAGUAUUGUAUUUUAUUCCUUCCUGCAUACCAGGCCUGGCAUGCUCAGGAAGAGAAUUUCUGGUUAAUUUUUAUUGCUUACUAUGAUGUAGCAGGCCAGUGGUUGAUGGAGGCUCUCUGAUGUUUCACUGAAACAAAAUGUUUCAGUUACACACAAAAAUAUCAUAAAAUACACUUUUUUCAAUAAAGCUGCACCCCUACUGAUUAGCUGGUGCCCUGAGACCUAGAGAUAGUGCAGCCUUCUGCCUUAAACUUCUAGACACAUCCCUCUUCCACACUACACUUCUGUGACAAACCAGCACUUUGCAGCUGAUGGCUGCUAGAUGCACAUAUUCAUUUAUUAAUGUAUUUCAGUGGGAAAAAAAAAAAAAAAAAAAAAAAAAAAGGUGAAAAAAAAAGGUGAAAAAAAAAGGUGAAAAAAGAUAAGAGCUUAGGACUGAAAAAAAGAAAGCCAUAAGGUGACUGUGGGAGCAGCCCCAGAGCUGAGAGCAGGGUGAGCUGGAGAGCUCUGUCAGGAGAUCAAAACAAGUGGGUCCACCCUCAUAAUCUGCUUCUUGCACAACCCCUGACAGGGCUGCAUGUGAAUGUGAAGAGGGGUGAAAAGAGGACAGGCUGCUGACUUACACAGCAGUCACAAGAGAUAGACGUGAAUGUUAGAGUUGGCUCCUGCAGAUGGUACACAGAAUAAAAUAACAAGUGUAGAGUACAGAGCAAGCAAGCUGAUUCUUUAUCAGGAUAUAACAUUUAACAAUUACCAGAUCCCUUCAGUUGAUAAUGCAGCCCCCUCAGCUCUCAAGCCAUCCCUUCUGGUCUCUGUGAUGUGCAUUACUUCAAAGGAGAACAGCUGGGUCCUGGACUAUAAUUUCUCAUGCAGCUAGGAUCAGAACCAUUAGUUUAUUUGAAGGCUAGGACUAAGACCUUAGAAGUGAAUGUAGAGCUAAUAGACAGUCUUAUGUUCCUGCUGUGUUCUCAGGGCUUAAGCCAGUGAAAAAAGGGGCAGGCACAUCUAAAUUAUUUUCACCUUUUGCCUCACUUACCAUGAUUUGCAGAAAUCUAGUUCAGAAAUGACAUAGAAAUGGCUCCCUGCUGUGAGGUCCUCAUCAUACACUAAGUUGUAAUGAGUUUCUAAUGAGGUGGAGAUAAGGAAGCCAUUUUUAGUGAUUACUGUGUAGCCUAGACAAAUCUCAGAGAUGUACUAAGUGACGGCAGAAUCUUCCACUGUUUUCCAUCAGUUAAAUAUCUCAGGAUACAUAAGAUAUCCUUAUGGUAUAACAUAAGAAGGUGAUAGGACAAAAACAUAUUAAAAGCAUCUUGAUAGCUUUUUCUUUAACUUUUUAUCAGGAAUUUUUGUAAUUAGUCAGUCAUUAACAAUGAUUAAUGAUUAGAAGUAUGGCCAAUGGGAAAUACAUGUUUUGAAAUCAAUAUCAGGAAAGACUGUGCAAUAUUGGAAGCAUUUGGCUGUGGAACUGUCACUUUGCAAAAUGAGAAACAUAUUUCACCUGUGUGUUCAUCAAACAGCUCCAAAUACAUAACUGAAAUGUAAAUGAGGAUAAGAGGCAGUGGAAAACAGGAGAAUAUUUACCUUAUAUUCCAAAUUGAUACUUAAUCAUUGCUUCCAUGUCUGUCUUUAAUGAUGCCCAUAGUAUAUUUUUAUUUAUAUACAUAUAUGUGUGUGUACAUGUACAUGCUCAUAAGUGCUCCAGAAGGAAACAUUUUAUUUUUGUUUUCCUGGAAGCAUUGGGUACUCUGUGAUGAGUCUUAGCAUAGGUAAUGUAAAUCUAGGUUUUAAAGCAACCAGGACAAAAUAAAACAAAAAAUACAUAAAAUCCA
rnacentral:lncRNA from 1 species